AGCUUUGCGCAGUGGCAGUAUCAUAGCCAAUGAGGUUUAUCUGAGGCGUGAUUAUUGCUAAUUAAAAAUGGCUAAGAUGGUUUUAUAUAUUUUACCACAAUUAAUAAGUAAAUUUUUUAAAUUUUUGCAUGCCUUGGAAUG